ACGGGUGAGUAAUACCUAGGAAUCUGCCUGGUAGUGGGGGACAACGUUUCGAAAGGAACGCUAAUACCGCAUACGUCCUACGGGAGAAAGCAGGGGACCUUCGGGCCUUGCGCUAUCAGAUGAGCCUAGGUCGGAUUAGCUAGUUGGUGAGGUAAUGGCUCACCAAGGCUACGAUCCGUAACUGGUCUGAGAGGAUGAUCAGUCACACUGGAACUGAGACACGGUCCAGACUCCUACGGGAGGCAGCAGUGGGGAAUAUUGGACAAUGGGCGAAAGCCUGAUCCAGCCAUGCCGCGUGUGUGAAGAAGGUCUUCGGAUUGUAAAGCACUUUAAGUUGGGAGGAAGGGCAGUAAGCGAAUACCUUGCUGUUUUGACGUUACCGACAGAAUAAGCACCGG
rnacentral:rRNA from 1 species